rnacentral:rRNA from 1 species
AAUAUUGCGCAAUGGGCGAAAGCCUGACGCAGGGACGCCGCGUGGGGGAAGAAGGUUUUCGGAGAGUAAACCCCUUUUAGGAUGAAAGAUGGGGUGGUUUUCCACCCGGACGGUUCCUCCAGAAAAAGCCACGGCUUACUUCGUGCCAGCAGCCGGGGUAAUACGAAGGUGGCGAGCGUUGUUCUGAUUUAUUGAGCGUAAAGAGCACGUAGGCGGUUUAGUAAGCCCCUGGGGAAAGCUACGGGCUUAACCCAUAAAGGUCGAGGGGGACUGCUAAGAUAGAGGGCGGGAGAGGAGCGCGGAAUUUCCGGUGUAGCGGUGAAAUGCGUAGAUAUCGGGAAGAAGCCCCGUGGCGAAGGCGGCGCUCUGGAACGUCUCUGACGCUGAGGUGCGAAAGCGUGGGGAGCCAACCGGAUUAGAUACCCUGGUAGUUCACGCCGUA